ensembl:lncRNA
GCAGAAGUUGGGGUGAGACCCAGGGUUAGGCAUAGUUCAGGGUGCCUCGCCGUCAGAUAAUCAACCAUCAGGCUUAUUUCUCUCUCCGAUUUCCCCAGCACUGUAUAAAUGAGACAACGUGCUUUGUCUUCUGUGGUCGUCUUCCCCUCUACAGUCUUCUUCUCCUCGUCAUUCAACACAUUCAUCUCCCUAAGGUAACGCAGGAGAUUGAUGACAUCGUGGUCCGACAACGUGUAGACUAAUUUAGAGCCAAUCCUUCCAAGUUCUGAAAUACAAAUCAAGAGAAAAGGCAAAUUAAACAAAUUUAAGUUUCUUCUCAACCAAAUUAUCUCUGCAUUGACAAUUUCUGGGAUAAAAAUUGAUAAAGUCUUUAAAAUAUACACUCAAAAUCACAACUCG